rnacentral:rRNA from 1 species
AGAGUUUGAUCAUGGCUCAGGACGAACGCUGGCGGCGUGCCUAAUACAUGCAAGUCGAGCGAGCUUGCCUAGAUGAUUUUGGUGCUUGCACUAAAUGAAACUAGAUACAAGCGAGCGGCGGACGGGUGAGUAACACGUGGGUAACCUGCCCAAGAGACUGGGAUAACACCUGGAAACAGAUGCUAAUACCGGAUAACAACACUAGACGCAUGUCUAGAGUUUGAAAGAUGGUUCUGCUAUCACUCUUGGAUGGACCUGCGGUGCAUUAGCUGGUUGGUAAGGUAACGGCUUACCAAGGCAAUGAUGCAUAGCCGAGUUGAGAGACUGAUCGGCCACAUUGGGACUGAGACACGGCCCAAACUCCUACGGGAGGCAGCAGUAGGGAAUCUUCCACAAUGGACGAAAGUCUAAUGGAGCAACGCCGCGUGAGUGAAGAAGGGUUUCGGCUCGUAAAGCUCUGUUGGUAGUGAAGAAAGAUAGAGGUAGUAACUGGCCUUUAUUUGACGGUAAUUACUUAGAAAGUCACGGCUAACUACGUGCCAGCAGCCGCGGUAAUACGUAGGUGGCAAGCGUUGUCCGGAUUUAUUGGGCGUAAAGCGAGUGCAGGCGGUUCAAUAAGUCUGAUGUGAAAGCCUUCGGCUCAACCGGAGAAUUGCAUCAGAAACUGUUGAACUUGAGUGCAGAAGGGGAGAGUGGAACUCCAUGUGUAGCGGUGGAAUGCGUAGAUAUAUGGAAGAACACCAGUGGCGAAGGCGGCUCUCUGGUCUGCAACUGACGCUGAGGCUCGAAAGCAUGGGUAGCGAACAGGAUUAGAUACCCUGGUAGUCCAUGCCGUAAACGAUGAGUGCUAAGUGUUGGGAGGUUUCCGCCUCUCAGUGCUGCAGCU